rnacentral:rRNA from 1 species
GACGAACGCUGGCGGCGUGCUUAACACAUGCAAGUCGAACGGAAAGGCCCUGCUUUUGUGGGGUGCUCGAGUGGCGAACGGGUGAGUAACACGUGAGUAACCUGCCCUUGACUUUGGGAUAACUUCAGGAAACUGGGGCUAAUACCGGAUAGGAGCUCCUGCUGCAUGGUGGGGGUUGGAAAGUUUCGGCGGUUGGGGAUGGACUCGCGGCUUAUCAGCCUGUUGGUGGGGUAGUGGCUUACCAAGGCUUUGACGGGUAGCCGGCCUGAGAGGGUGACCGGCCACAUUGGGACUGGGGUACGGCCCAGACUCCUACGGGAGGGAGCAGUGGGGAAUAUUGCGCAAUGGGCGGAAGCCUGAUGCAGCAACGCCGCGUGCGGGAUGACGGCCUUCGGGUUGUAAACCGCUUUCGCCUGUGACGAAGCGUGAGUGACGGUAAUGGGUAAAGAAGCACCGGCGAACUACGU